CAGUCGAGCGGACCGACGGGAGCUUGCUCCCUUAGGUCAGCGGCGGACGGGUGAGUAACACGUGGGUAACCUGCCUGUAAGACUGGGAUAACUCCGGGAAACCGGGGCUAAUACCGGAUGCUUGAUUGAACCGCAUGGUUCAAUCAUGAAAGGCGGCUUCGGCUGCCGUUUACAGAUGGACCCGCGGCGCAUUAGCUAGUUGGUGAGGUAACGGCUCACCAAGGCGACGAUGCGUAGCCGACCUGAGAGGGUGAUCGGCCACACUGGGACUGAGACACGGCCCAGACUCCUACGGGAGGCAGCAGUAGGGAAUCUUCCGCAAUGGACGAAAGUCUGACGGAGCAACGCCGCGUGAGUGAUGAAGGUUUUCGGAUCGUAAAGCUCUGUUGUUAGGGAAGAACAAGUACCGUUCGAAUAGGGCGGUACCUUGACGGUACCUAACCAGAAAGCCACGGCUAACUACGUGCCAGCAGCCGCGGUAAUACGUAGGUGGCAAGCGUUGUCCGGAAUUAUUGGGCGUAGAGCGCGCGCAGGCGGUUUCUUAAGUCUGAUGUGAAAGCCCCCGGCUCAACCGGGGAGGGUCAUUGGAAACUGGGGAACUUG
rnacentral:rRNA from 1 species